rnacentral:rRNA from 1 species
GACGAACGCUGGCGGCGUGCUUAACACAUGCAAGUCGAACGGAAAGGCCCUGCUUUUGUGGGGUGCUCGAGUGGCGAAGGGGUGAGUAACACGUGAGUAACCUGCCCUUGACUUUGGGAUAACUUCAGGAAACUGGGGCUAAUACCGGAUAGGAGCUCCUGCUGCAUGGUGGGGGUUGGAAAGUUUCGGCGGUUGGGGAUGGACUCGCGGCUUAUCAGCUUGUUGGUGGGGUAGUGGCUUACCAAGGCUUUGACGGGUAGCCGGCCUGAGAGGGUGACCGGCCACAUUGGGACUGAGAUACGGCCCAGACUCCUACGGGAGGCAGCAGUGGGGAAUAUUGCACAAUGGGCGGAAGCCUGAUGCAGCAACGCCGCGUGCGGGAUGACGGCCUUCGGGUUGUAAACCGCUUUCGGCUGUGACGAAGCGUGAGUGACGGUAAUGGGUAAAGAAGCACCGGCUAACUACGUG